AACUUACCAGGUCCAGACAUAGUGAGGAUGACCAGAUUGAUAGCUCUUUCUUGAUUCUAUGGGUGGUGGUGCAUGGCCGUUCUAAGUUGGUGGAGUGAAUUGUCUGGUAAUUCCGUAAACGACGAGACUUAAGCCUGCUAACUAGUCGAGCCAAUCUCCGAUUGGCGGCGACUUAUAGAGGGACUUUGUGGCUCCAAACACAAGGAAGUUUGAGGCAAUAACAGGUCUGUGAUGCCCUUAGAUGUCCUGGGCCGCACGCGUGCUACACUGACGCAUACAGCGAGUACAUCCCAGCUCCGCGAGGCAGCUGGUAAUCAGCAAUAUGCGUCGUGAUGGGGAUAGAUCUUUGGAAUUAUAGAUCUUGAACGAGGAAUUCCUAGUAGGCGCAAGUCAUUACCUUGCGCCGAUUAAGUCCCUGCCCUUUGUACACACCGCCCGUCGCUCCUACCGAUUUCGAGUGGUCCGGUGAACCUUUUGGACUGCGCGCGGCCUCGUGCCGCGGGCGGAAAAUCAAGUAAACCAUAUCACUUAGAGGAAGGAGAAGUCGUAACAAGGUUUCCGUAGGUGAACCUGCAG
rnacentral:rRNA from 1 species